rnacentral:rRNA from 1 species
CAGCCGCCGCGGUAAUACGGAGGGUGCAAGCGUUAAUCGGAAUUACUGGGCGUAAAGCGCACGCAGGCGGUCUGUCAAGUCGGAUGUGAAAUCCCCGGGCUCAACCUGGGAACUGCAUUCGAAACUGGCAGGCUAGAGUCUUGUAGAGGGGGGUAGAAUUCCAGGUGUAGCGGUGAAAUGCGUAGAGAUCUGGAGGAAUACCGGUGGCGAAGGCGGCCCCCUGGACAAAGACUGACGCUCAGGUGCGAAAGCGUGGGGAGCAAACAGGAUUAGAGACCCCGGUAGUCCCUGUCUCUUAUAC